AGGUGCUCCAAGUUUCUGAUCAAUUUUGUGGCCCUCCCUCCUCUGGACCCAUUCUAACAGGUCAACAUCUUUCUUGUUCUGGGAGCCCCAGACCUGGAAGCAGUACUCCAGGUGGGGCCUCAUGAGGGCAGAGUAG